AACGCGAAGAACCUUACCAGUCCUUGACAUGUCCAUUAUGGGCCUGAGAGAUCAGGUCCUUCACUUCGGGUGGGUGGAACACAGGUGCUGCAUGGCUGUCGUCAGCUCGUGUCGUGAGAUGUUGGGUUAAGUCCCGCAACGAGCGCAACCCUCAUCUUCAGUUGCCAUCGGGUAAAGCUGGGCACUCUGAAGAAACCGCCGGUGACAAGCCGGAGGAAGGCGGGGAUGACGUCAAGUCCUCAUGGCCCUUAUGGGCUGGGCUACACACGUGCUACAAUGGCGGUGACAAUGGGAUGCGAUGGAGCGAUCCGGAGCCAAUCUCAAAAAGCCGUCUCAGUUCAGAUUGCACUCUGCAACUCGAGUGCAUGAAGGUGGAAUCGCUAGUAAUCGUGGAUCAGCAUGCCACGGUGAAUACGUUCCCGGGCCUUGUACACACCGCGCAUA
rnacentral:rRNA from 1 species